rnacentral:rRNA from 1 species
AACGCGAAGAACCUUACCUACCCUUGACAUGGUCGGAAUCCUGAAGAGAUUUGGGAGUGCUCGCAAGAGAACCGAUACACAGGUGCUGCAUGGCUGUCGUCAGCUCGUGUCGUGAGAUGUUGGGUUAAGUCCCGCAACGAGCGCAACCCUUGUCAUUAAUUGCCAUCAUUUGGUUGGGCACUUUAAUGAGACUGCCGGUGACAAACCGGAGGAAGGUGGGGAUGACGUCAAGUCCUCAUGGCCCUUAUGGGUAGGGCUUCACACGUCAUACAAUGGUACGUACAGAGGGUUGCCAAGCCGUGAGGUGGAGCUAAUCCCAGAAAGCGUAUCGUAGUCCGGAUUGGAGUCUGCAACUCGACUCCAUGAAGUUGGAAUCGCUAGUAAUCGCGGAUCAGCAUGUCGCGGUGAAUACGUUCCCGGGCCUUGUACACACCGCUAGUC